UCGAGCGACUGUUUAUCAAAUACACAGGAUUUAGUUGAGAGACCUCAAUAUUAGACCUGAUAUCUGACCAGUGUUU
rnacentral:rRNA from 8 species